rnacentral:rRNA from 1 species
AGGACGAACGCUGGCGGCGUGCCUAACACAUGCAAGUCGAACGGGCCUGGGGGCAACUCCAGGUCAGUGGCGGACGGGUGCGUAACACGUAAGCAACGUAUCCAACGGUGGGGGAUAGCCGGCCCAACGGCCGGGUAAUACCGCAUACGGUCGCCCGGGACAUCCCGGGUGAGGAAAGUGGGGGCAACCUCACGCCGAUGGAGCGGCUUGCGGCCUAUCAGCUAGUUGGUGAGGUCACGGCUCACCAAGGCGACGACGGGUAGCUGGUCUGAGAGGAUGAUCAGCCACAUUGGGACUGAGACACGGCCCAGACUCCUACGGGAGGCAGCAGUGGGGAAUCUUGCGCAAUGGGCGAAUGCCUGACGCAGCGACGCCGCGUGUGGGAUGACGGCCUUCGGGUUGUAAACCACUGUCGGGGGGGACGAAGGCCCGGCGGCGAACAGCCGACCGGGAUUGACGGUACCUCCAAAGGAAGCACCGGCUAACUCCGUGCCAGCAGCCGCGGUAAUACGGAGGGUGCGAGCGUUGUCCGGAAUCACUGGGCGUAAAGGGCGCGUAGGCGGCUGGGUAAGUCACGCGUGAAAUUCCGGGGCUCAACUCCGGAACGGCGUGUGGGACUGCCCGGCUAGAGCACGGUAGAGGCGAGUGGAAUUCCAGGUGUAGCGGUGGAAUGCGUAGAUAUCUGGAAGAACACCGGUGGCGAAGGCGGCUCGCUGGGCCGUUGCUGACGCUGAGGCGCGAAAGCGUGGGGAGCAAACAGGAUUAGAUACCCUGGUAGUCCACGCUGUAAACGAUGGGCACUAGGCGUCGGGGGGAGCGACCCCCCCGGUGCCGUCGCUAACGCAAUAAGUGCCCCGCCUGGGGAGUACGGCCCGCAGGCUGAAACU